rnacentral:rRNA from 1 species
GACGAACGCUGGCGGCGUGCUUAACACAUGCAAGUCGAACGGAAAGGCCCUGCUUUUGUGGGGUGCUCGAGUGGCGAACGGGUGAGUAACACGUGAGUAACCUGCCCUUGACUUUGGGAUAACUUCAGGAAACUGGGGCUAAUACCGGAUAGGAGCUCUUGCUGCAUGGUGGGGGUUGGAAAGUUUCGGCGGUAGGGGAUGGACUCGCGGGUUAUCCGCUUGUUUGUGGGGUAGUGGCUUACCAAGGCUUCGACGGGUAGCCGGCCUGGGAGGGUGAACGGCGACCUUGGGACUGAGAUACGGCCCAGAAGCCUACGGGAGGCAGCAGUGGGGAGUAUUGCAGAAUGGGCGGAAGCCUGAUGCAGCGACGCCGCGUGCGGGAUGACGGCCUACGGGUUGUAAACCGCUUUCGCAGGUGACGAAGCGUGAGUGACGGUAAUGGGUAAGAAAGCACCGGCUAACUACGUG